AUCCCUUGACAUCCUGCGAACUUUCUAGAGAUAGAUUGGUGCCUUCGGGAACGCAGAGACAGGUGCUGCAUGGCUGUCGUCAGCUCGUGUCGUGAGAUGUUGGGUUAAGUCCCGCAACGAGCGCAACCCUUAUCAUUAGUUGCUAACAUUUAGUUGAGAACUCUAAUGAGACUGCCGGUGAUAAACCGGAGGAAGGCGGGGACGACGUCAAGUCAUCAUGGCCCUUAUGAGAUGGGCUACACACGUGCUACAAUGGGCGGUACAAAGAGCAGCCAACUGGCGACAGUGAGCUAAUCUCAUAAAACCUCUCGUAGUCCGGAUCGGAGUCUGCAACUCGACUCCGUGAAGUCGGAAUCGCUAGUAAUCGUGAAUCAGAAUGUCACGGUGAAUACGUUCCCGGGCCU
rnacentral:rRNA from 1 species